rnacentral:rRNA from 1 species
CCUACGGGUGGCAGCAGUGAGGAAUAUUGGUCAAUGGGCGGGAGCCUGAACCAGCCAAGUAGCGUGAGGGAUGACUGUACAGCGUAUUGUAAACUUCUUUUGUCAGGGAAUAAAGGGGGGGACGAGUCCCCUGUUGUGGGUACCUGAAGAAUAAGCAUCGGCUAACUCCGUGCCAGCAGCCGCGGUAAUACGGAGGAUCCGAGCGUUAUCCGGAUUUAUUGGGUUUAAAGGGUGCGGAGGUGGCUCGUUAAGUCAGCGGUAAAAGUUUGGGGCUCAACCCUAACAUUGCCGUUGAAACUGGCAGGCUGGAGUACAGGAGAGGUAGGCGGAAUGCGGGGUGUAGCGGUGAAAUGCUUAGAUAUCGCGCAGAACUCCGAUUGCGAAGGCAGCUUACCGGACCGCCACUGACACUGAGGCUCGAAAGUGUGGGUAUCAAACAGGAUUAGAUACCCGGGUAGUC